rnacentral:rRNA from 1 species
AUUGAACGCUGGCGGCAUGCUUUACACAUGCAAGUCGAACGGCAGCGCGGGGGCAACCCUGGCGGCGAGUGGCGAACGGGUGAGUAAUGCAUCGGAACGUAUCCUGUAAUGGGGGGAUAACGUAGCGAAAGUUACGCUAAUACCGCAUACGCUCGAGAGAGGAAAGUGGGGGAUCGCAAGACCUCACGUUAUAGGAGCGGCCGAUGUCCGAUUAGCUAGUUGGUGGGGUAAAGGCCUACCAAGGCGACGAUCGGUAGCUGGUCUGAGAGGAUGAUCAGCCACACUGGGACUGAGACACGGCCCAGACUCCUACGGGAGGCAGCAGUGGGGAAUUUUGGACAAUGGGCGGAAAGGACCUGAUCCAGCCAUGCCGCGUGCGGG